AGAGUUUGUUCCUGGCUCAGAACGAACGCUGGCGGCAGGCCUAACACAUGCAAGUCGAGCGCACCUUCGGGUGAGCGGCGGACGGGUUAGUAACGCGUGGGAACGUGCCCAGAUCUGCGGAAUAGCCACUGGAAACGGUGAGUAAUACCGCAUACGCCCUUCGGGGGAAAGAUUUAUCGGAUUUGGAUCGGCCCGCGUUAGAUUAGGUAGUUGGUGGGGUAACGGCCUACCAAGCCUACGAUCUAUAGCUGGUUUUAGAGGAUGAUCAGCAACACUGGGACUGAGACACGGCCCAGACUCCUACGGGAGGCAGCAGUGGGGAAUCUUGGACAAUGGGCGCAAGCCUGAUCCAGCCAUGCCGCGUGAGUGAUGAAGGCCUUAGGGUCGUAAAGCUCUUUCGCCAGGGAUGAUAAUGACAGUACCUGGUAAAGAAACCCCGGCUAACUCCGUGCCAGCAGCCGCGGUAAUACGGAGGGGGUUAGCGUUGUUCGGAAUUACUGGGCGUAAAGCGCGCGUAGGCGGACCAGAAAGUUAGGGGUGAAAUCCCGGGGCUCAACCCCGGAACUGCCUCUAAAACUCCUGGUCUAGAGUUCGAGAGAGGUGAGUGGAAUUCCGAGUGUAGAGGUGAAAUUCGUAGAUAUUCGGAGGAACACCAGUGGCGAAGGCGGCUCACUGGCUCGAUACUGACGCUGAGGUGCGA
rnacentral:rRNA from 1 species